rnacentral:rRNA from 1 species
CACGUAGGGUGCGAGCGUUAUCCGGAUUCACUGGGUUUAAAGGGUGCGUAGGCGGGCAUUUAAGUCAGUGGUGAAAUACCUGAGCUUAACUUGGGAACUGCCAUUGAUACUAUUUGUCUUGAAUGUCGUGGAGGUUAGCGGAAUAUGUCAUGUAGCGGUGAAAUGCUUAGAUAUGACAUAGAACACCAAUUGCGAAGGCAGCUUACUACAGGGAUAUUGACACUGAGGCACGAAAGCGUGGGGAUCAAACAGG